AUAAAUAUAAUUUUUUUUUUUUUCUUCCCCAUUUAUAUUUGAUGCUGCUUUUAGCCCAAUUCCUUUGUUGCUCUCCUAAUUGUGGCCCUGUUUAAGGUUUCUGAAGUCAUGUGGAGAGAAUGGAGUUCCUGUUGUUUCCUCCCAGUGUCUUUGAAGACGCGAUUGUAGGGUUCGUGUGGGGGCUUCAGGCCCACUAGUUGUCCAGAGCUCCCGGACGCUGCAGUGCCUUCCUUUGGGAAGUGCGCAAGCUUCUCUUCUGUGAAGAGGAUGGUACUUCACAAGGCUACAGUUGUUUUAUAUGUACCACAAUCUGUACCACAGUUGUUUUAUAUGUACCACAAUCUGUACCACAGUUGUUUUAUAUGUACCACAGUCUGCGUGCCCGUGGCGUAGUCACCCUUUCAGGCUCAUCCCCUCCCCACCUCCCCAUACUCAUGCAAGAUUUAACUCUUUGGGGGGGGGGGGGGGGGAGGAAAAAAGUGACCACAUGGAGAUAACAAACAAAAGUGUUCAAUAAAGCCAGGGCAUUACGUGUUGGACCAGCACAA